rnacentral:sRNA from 1 species
UCAGCCGCUUAUAAUGGAGGCAUAAAUGGCGGCGCCAUACGUGACGGCUUAUCAUCGAGGCUCCGACAGAGCUCCUUCCCAUCGAAGGAUUCACUGAGUUUCUUCUGCACCUUGGGUAUGCGGGUUGAAUUGCCCACAAGGACGACAUCGUGAAUGCUGUUCUUGUCCACGUACCUUGGCGUCGCAGAGGCAAUAAUUCUCCAUAGCCUCCAUGCACUUGCUGAAGAAAUCCUUAUUUAGGUCCUUGAAUCAGAACCGAUUGAUGUACGUUGACACGGAGAUCGAUGCCUUGAUUUAGUGAGCUGAGUCUACCUCAAUGGUAUGGUCUGUGCCUUGG